rnacentral:lncRNA from 1 species
UUCAAUAAAUUGAACAUAAUUUCGCACCUCUGUUCCUGCUGCAAACUUCUCGAACUCAAAAACACCCAUUGGUCCAUUCCAAAUGAUGGUCUGAGUGUUGUCCAAUGCUUCACUGAAUGAUUUAAUGGAAUCAGGUCCAAUAUCCAAUCCCAACCAUCCAUCUGGGAUGCUUGAUGCUGGCACAAUCUGUGAACAUGUAAAAGAAGAGCUUUAUGUAUAUCCCAACAUUCUAAAUACUAUUCAUCAACUCAUUAGCAUAUUUCAUUAGUUCAGAAAUGUAGAUGAAUUCGAGAAUGAAGAUAAAUUGUCGGUAAAUCGACAGAACUCCUAAUUCCAUCAUUUCACAAGUUUGAAUUUCAAGAGAAAGGGUUUUAUAUUAUAAUAAAGAAACCAAUAUUGUCCAAGCAGCUCCGAG